CAGCCGCCGCGGUAAUACGAAGGGGGCUAGCGUUGUUCGGAUUUACUGGGCGUAAAGCGCACGUAGGCGGACUUUUAAGUCAGGGGUGAAAUCCCGGGGCUCAACCCCGGAACUGCCUUUGAUACUGGGAGUCUUGAGUUCGAGAGAGGUGAGUGGAAUUGCGAGUGUAGAGGUGAAAUUCGUAGAUAUUCGCAGGAACACCAGUGGCGAAGGCGGCUCACUGGCUCGAUACUGACGCUGAGGUGCGAAAGCGUGGGGAGCAAACAGGAUUAGAGACCCCUGUAGUCCCUGUCUCUUAUAC
rnacentral:rRNA from 1 species